AACGAACGCUGGCGGCAUGCCUAACACAUGCAAGUCGAACGAACCCUUCGGGGUGAGUGGCGCACGGGUGCGUAACGCGUGGGAACCUGCCCUUAGGUUCGGAAUAACACAGAGAAAUUUGUGCUAAUACCGGAUAAUGUCUUCGGACCAAAGAUUUAUCGCCUUUGGAUGGGCCCGCGUAGGAUUAGCUAGUUGGUGAGGUAAAAGCACACUAAGGCGACGAUCCUUAGCUGGUCUUAGCGGAUGAUCAGCCACACUGGGACUGAGACACGGCCCAGAAUCCUACGGGAGGCAGCAGUGGGCAAUAUUGGACAAUGGGCGAAAGCCUGUUCCAGCAAUGCCGCGUGAGUGAUGAAGGCCUUAGGGUUGUAAAGCUCUUUUACCCGGGAUGAUAAUGACAGUACCGGGAGAAUAAGCCCCGGCUAACUCCGUGCCAGCCGCCGCCGUAAGAC
rnacentral:rRNA from 1 species